UACGUAGGGGGCUAGCGUUGUCCGGAAUCAUUGGGCGUAAAGCGUGCGCAGGCGGUGAUGUAAGACAGAUGUGAAAUCCCCGGGCUCAACCUGGGAACUGCAUUUGUGACUGCAUCGCUGGAGUACGGCAGAGGGGGAUGGAAUUCCGCGUGUAGCAGUGAAAUGCGUAGAUAUCAUAAGGAAGACCAGUGGCGAAGGCGAGUCUCUGGACAGUUACUGACGCUGAGGCACGAAGGCCAGGGGAGCAAACGGG
rnacentral:rRNA from 1 species